rnacentral:rRNA from 1 species
GCUUGCUUGGGGUGGAUCAGUGGCGAACGGGUGAGUAACACGUGAGCAACCUGCCCCAGACUCCGGAAUAAGCGCUGGAAACGGCGUCUAAUACUGGAUAUGAGAUCAGUCCGCAUGGGCAUGGUCUGGAAAGUUUUUCGGUCUGGGAUGGGCUCGCGGCCUAUCAGCUUGUUGGUGAGGUAAUGGCUCACCAAGGCGACGACGGGUAGCCGGCCUGAGAGGGCGACCGGCCACACUGGGACUGAGACACGGCCCAGACUCCUACGGGAGGCAGCAGUGGGGAAUAUUGCACAAUGGGCGAAAGCCUGAUGCAGCGACGCCGCGUGAGGGAUGACGGCCUUCGGGUUGUAAACCUCUUUCAGCAGGGAAGAAGCGCAAGUGACGGUACCUGCAGAAGAAGCACCGGCUAACUACGUGCCAGCAGCCGCGGUAAUACGUAGGGUGCGAGCGUUGUCCGGAAUUAUUGGGCGUAAAGGGCUUGUAGGCGGUUUGUCGCGUCUGCUGUGAAAAUCCGAGGCUCAACCUCGGACUUGCAGUGGGUACGGGCAGACUAGAGUGUGGUAGGGGAGACUGGAAUUCCUGGUGUAGCGGUGAAAUGCGCAGAUAUCAGGAGGAACACCGAUGGCGAAGGCAGGUCUCUGGGCCACUACUGACGCUGAGAAGCGAAAGCAUGGGGAGCGAACAGGAUUAGAUACCCUGGUAGUCCAUGCCGUAAACGUUGGGCGCUAGGUGUGGGACUCAUUCCACGAGUUCCGUGCCGCAGCUAACGCAUUAAGCGCCCCGCCUGGGGAGUACGGCCGCAAGGCUAAAACUCAAAGGAAUUGACGGGGGCCCGCACAAGCGGCGGAGCAUGCGGAUUAAUUCGAUGCAACGCGAAGAACCUUACCAAGGCUUGACAUAUACCGGUAACACCCAGAGAUGGGUGCCCCUUUUUGGUCGGUAUACAGGUGGUGCAUGGUUGUCGUCAGCUCGUGUCGUGAGAUGUUGGGUUAAGUCCCGCAA